UACGUAGGGUGCGAGCGUUGUCCGGAAUUACUGGGCGUAAAGAGCUCGUAGGUGGUUUGUCGCGUUGUCCGUGAAAACUCACAGCUCAACUGUGGGCGUGCGGGCGAUACGGGCAGACUGGAGUACUGCAGGGGAGACUGGAAUUCCUGGUGUAGCGGUGGAAUGCGCAGAUAUCAGGAGGAACACCGGUGGCGAAGGCGGGUCUCUGGGCAAUAACUGACGCUGAGGAGCGAAAGCGUGGGGAGCGAACAGG
rnacentral:rRNA from 1 species